UAGAGUUUGAUCCUGGCUCAGAACGUACGCUGGCGGCACGCCUAACACAUGCAAGUCGAACGAAGUAGCAAUACUUAGUGGCAGACGGGUGAGUAACAUGUAGGUAUCUGCCCUUUGGCCUGGAAUAACACGAGGAAACUUGUGCUAAUACCGGAUAAGUCUUUACGGAGAAAGCUUUAUGCACCAUUGGAUGAGCCUGCACUUGAUUAGUUUGUUGGUGGGGUAAUGGCCUACCAAGACUGUGAUCAAUAGCUGAUUUGAGAGGAUGAUCAGCCACAUUGGGACUGAGACACGGCCCAAACUCCUACGGGAGGCAGCAGUGGGGAAUCUUGCACAAUGGAGGAAACUCUGAUGCAGCGAUGCCGCGUGAGUGAAGAAGGCCCUUGGGUUGUAAAGCUCUUUCGUCGGGGAAGAAAAUGACUGUACCCGAAUAAGAAGGUCCGGCUAACUUCGUGCCAGCAGCCGCGGUAAUACGAAGGGACCUAGCGUAGUUCGGAAUUACUGGGCUUAAAGAGUUCGUAGGUGGUUGAAAAAGUUAGUGGUGAAAUCCCAGAGCUUAACUCUGGAACUGCCAUUAAAACUUUUCAGCUAGAGUAUGAUAGAGGAAAGCAGAAUUUCUAGUGUAGAGGUGAAAUUCGUAGAUAUUAGAAAGAAUACCAAUUGCGAAGGCAGCUUUCUGGAUCAUUACUGACACUGAGGAACGAAAGCAUGGGUAGCGAAGAGGAUUAGAUACCCUCGUAGUCCAUGCCGUAAACGAUGUGUGUUAGACGUUGGAAAAUUUAUUUUCAGUGUCGCAGGGAAACCGAUAAACACACCGCCUGGGGAGUACGACCGCAAGGUUAAAACUCAAAUGAAUUGACGGGGACCCGCACAAGUAGUGGAGCAUGUGGUUUAAUUCGAAGAUACGCGCAGAACCUUACCAACACUUGACAUGUUCGUCGCGACUCUAAGAGAUUAGAGUUUUCGGUUCGGCCGGACGAAACACAGGUGCUGCAUGGCUGUCGUCAGCUCGUGUCGUGAGAUGUUGGGUUAAGUCCCGCAACGAGCGCAACCCUCACUUUUAGUUGCCAUCAUUAAGUUGGGCACUCUGAAAGAACUGCCAGUGAUAAGCUGGAGGAAGGUGGGGAUGACGUCAAGUCCUCAUGGCCCUUACGUGUUGGGCUACACACGUGCUACAAUGGUAUCUACAACAGGAAGCAAGACUGCGAAGUUAAGCAAAUCCCUAAAAGAUACCUCAGUUCGGAUUGCACUCUGCAACUCGAGUGCAUGAAGCUGGAAUUACUAGUAAUCGUGGAUCAGCGUGCCACGGUGAAUGCGUUCCCGGGUCUUGUACACACCGCCCGUCACACCAUGGGAGUUGGUUCUACCUUAAGGCAAGGUUUCAAACCCUUGACCACGGUAUAGUCAGCGACUGGGGUGAAGUCGUAACAAGGUAACC
rnacentral:rRNA from 1 species